CAACGAUACAUAAUUUUGAACCACAAAAAAAUUGAAGUUAAGAAAAAAAUGAAAUCAGUUGUAAUUUUUUUGAUUAUUCUUAGCAUACUUGGUGCAGAAUCCACAUCUACAUUUAAGGAUUCCCCUACGGAUACCAACCAUGCGGUUGAUCUUCAUAAAUUUUGUAAACUUGGUUGUGUCUUUUCUCUUUGCAGCAAUGUUUCCACCCAAGAAAACCUGAAUGUGGACAAAGUAGAAAGUUGUGUGAAUGGGUGUGAUCAAACGUGUAAGAAGAACUGAUCCUAAAGAAAAGAAGAUGAAGUAUACUGAGAGGAGAAGGGAACAGG